rnacentral:lncRNA from 1 species
UAGUUUUCUUAGUAAUUGGAGGAUUCUAGUUUUUUUAUAUAUUGGGUUUUAGUUGUUUUGUGUGUUUCCUUAUUUGAAUUAUAAUAAAACUAGUUGAUUUUGUUCUACCUAAUGUUUUUCUUUAAUAUGUACGUUGUUCAUGUUGUCGUAUUUGAAUAACCUCGUAAUGUUUUCUUAUUAUUAUAGGACGUUCAUAUUUUCUCAAAUUAAAAUCAUUUAAUGAAUAAGCUUGUAAAGGAUUCUAACCAUAAGAUAUUAUUAAAACCAAAUAAGCUUAAUUUGGGAAAUUUGGCAAAGAUACAAUUAUUUAAUCUCUUCAAGUUAAUGUUCCGAUGUUUAUUAUGUCAUUUGUUUUUAGCACGUAAUCAAAGUUUUCCAAGGCAUAAACUAGAAAUUUAUUGUCUUGAUCUUUUAUUCUCUUUUACAGUCGUUCCGACAGCAAAAACAAUGGGAACGAGUGGCAAAAUCAGUUUACAAAUGCAAACAAAGUACGUACAUGCAUCUAUUAAUAUGUAUAACCCAAGCAAGUUUCAAAACUGUGACGCCAAUAACAAAAGUUUUGGAUAAUACCAUUACAUCACUUGGAUCACGUACGGCAUUAUCUUGUUUGUUAAUAUUUAACACUUGGCCCAAUGCAAUUACCGUUUCUAUCUUUUUUUUUUUUUUUUUUUUUUGCUAUGGUACUCUCUUAAGCAGACUUGAAUCUUGAUGAUUCCAUGAUGCAUCAACUAGCUAGUGAUGAUGAGAUGAAUGUAUCAUGCACCAAGCUAAUGUCUCCUCUCUAACUUAUAUGCUCAUACAAAAAAAAAAAAACUUAUAUCCUCAUGUAUGUAAACGAUUUAUUUAUUGUAAAUUUUUUUUGGGAAAAUAAUUUAUUUCAUAAUACAAAUUUUUGUGGAGAUUUCUGAUUUGAUAUGGGAAAUAUUUGAUAUGCAAUCUCAUUUUCGGUCCAUAUCGUCUGUGAUAUCACUUCGGUGGACGUAUCAUUCAUCAAGAUUUUAUGUGUGUGUGUGUGUUUUUUUUUUUUUUGUAUGAUAUGUAUUAGAGAAGUGUUAAAAAAAUUAAUUACUAAAAAAAUAAAAAGUGAAGAGAGAGAUAAUAGUCUCUUAUUAGGAAUAAUAGCCUAAUACAAACAAAUGAUAAACUUUGUAAUAAUCUUAGUGGAAACUUCCCUUAGAAAUAUGUGUAUAACCAUAAUCACAAUACUAACAUUUAUACAACAUUUCGAAAUACACACAAGUAAUAAUACUCAAAAGAAGAGAGUGAUGAUUUGGUAAUUUGGAUUGAGAGUGUGUACAAGGAAGGCCAAGUUGGGUUUUGGUUACUUUCCUCGUAAGUCGAACAAAAAAUAUUCGUGUGUCGGUAGAAGGUAACGAGAUGAAGCCACGUGUAAGAUCGUGUAGCAUAUAAGAAGAAGUGUUUUGAUCGAUCUUUGUCGUCGUGAAAACCCAAAGGACCCACACCGCACCGACGACUGAUCAAUCUAAAAAUAAGCUCUUAAGGCUGUUCUGUUCCAAUUCCAUUGUCCUAUCUUCUCUGGACCCCUUUGGAUUUUGCAUGCAUCUCCUAGUGAACCCCACCAUGUUUUACCUCUUGUCAUUUCUUACGUUAUGUCAAUUGCUCUCCUUACAUAUAUACAUAUUCUUCUUCUUCUAACACUCGCAUCUCUAAACUCUAAUCUAUGUUCUUGAGUUUAUUACAUCUAGUUUUUGUUUUGCUCACCAUGCAUGCAAAGCCUUCCAUGUAUCUGAAAAGUUUAGUUAGAGUGAUAGUCCGAUUGGGUAAUUGAUAACGGUAUAUAUGACCCGUAUGAGUAAACCCUCUAGUGAGUUAAAAUAAAAUAGUAAAAAUAGUAACAAGGGUAAAAAGAUUUGAGAUAAUUUAUGAUUAUAAGGUUUUGUACCAUUAUUAUAAAACAUGUUAGAAUCCAUGGAUUCAAAAAAAUGAUACAAUAUUUGCUUCACUUAUUAAAAAGUAAUUUAAAAUAAGAUCACUUAAAUUUAUGAUACAAUUUAAGUGAUACAAUAUACUCAUUUUUUUGUAGUGCCAGUAUUUUGGACGUCUAUAGUGAUCAAUCAUUACUAAUCAUAAUAUAAUUAUAUUCUACUCCAUUAAUCAAAGAAAACAUAUUAACAAGUCUUAUAAAAGAACAAAGAGUGUAUUUAAUAAUAAGUCUAUUCUUCGCACAAGCUACUUCCCCACUUCAGAGAACACUGAGUGGCCCAUUCUUUACAUAUCAUAGAAUGUGGAGAAAUAUACAAUAUAAUUAAUUAUAUUAUCAAAUUUUUAAAAAUAUAAUCUUAAAUAAAUAAUUAAAAAUAUUUGAUGAAAAUCUUAAUUAAAUUAAUAAUUAAAAGUUUGUUUGUUAAAAUCAUGUGAAACAUUAUAUAUCACAUAAAAUCUCUUAUUUUCACAUAAAAUCUUCAUAUUAAAAUAAUCAAUUUCGAUAUAUAUUUUACAAGGGCAUAAAUAAAGGAGACAAAAGAUUUGAUAUAUUCAUGUAGAUCCAUCCACACCUAGAAUUCAGGAGCUAUACUAAACAACUUAUCACCUCGUGAAUUCAGGAGCUAUACUAAACUUAUCACCUCGUCCCCCCCCCUAUAUAUAUAUUACAACUUUAGAAGAAGCCCUAAUACAAUAAAGUCUCAACAAUGAAGUUUCACGGCCAAAGAAGAAAGAAGAAAGUCUCAACAACAACGAAGAAACAAAACAAAACACUACCUGAAGUGAUCCACGAAACACCUGAUCAUGUGCAAGUCAUAAAGUACCCUUGUUUAACGACGAUGUUGUGGGAGAGUUUGGAGAAAAAGAAACUGAAUGGUGUACGUGUAUUCACUCGUGGGGUUUGGUACGCGUUGUUAACUUUCUCAGUCUUUGGCUCACUCAUAUCCGGAAGCCAAGUUUUCUAUACCCCGAUAUCAUUUGGCGUCACGGCCUUGUUCGCAGUGAUGCUAGUCAAGUGUUUGUUCUUCGACGUGGGCUAUCCUGAUCCAACUACAAUGCCGGUACUAAAGAACAUUAGAUUUGUAACAUCGUUGAUUAUAUUACCGGCCAUGUUUUAUAUCCCUUUCUAUUACCCUACCAUGAAUGUUCUUGUUUCGGUCUUUUCGUUGCUCGCUGGAGGAGUCUCGAUCUAUCAACUCACUUGCACGAUUGACAUUGGACAUGGUCUCAAUAUUCUCCUUCUUGCCUUUAUUAAUGGACUCUUAGGUAUAGACUUUGCUGGUCAAGGGCAUGAUCCAGCCGUUGGACUUUUUCCAAGUCUCUUCUUCCAAUACAUUGUCUACGUUUACAAUUUCGAGUUCUUAGCUGAUGUAGUUUAGUUUUCUUAGUAAUUGGAGGAUUCUAGUUUUUUUUUUUUAUAUUGGGUUUUAGUUGUUUUAUGUUUUCCUUAUUUGAAUCAUAAUAAAACUAGUUGAUUUUGUUCUACUUGUUCAUGUCGUCGUUUUUGAGUAACCUCGUAAUGUUUUCUAAAAUUAAUAAGUUGGAUUAAUUUUUUUUCAUUACAAUUUAUGGAGGUAUAUUUUGAUUUGAUUGGAAAAUAUUUGAUAUGUAAUCAAAUCUCAUUUUCCGUCCAUAUCGUGUAUGGUAUAAUUUCGGUGGACGUAUCAUUUAUCAAGAUCUUUC